rnacentral:rRNA from 1 species
GGACGAACGCUGGCGGCGUGCUUAACACAUGCAAGUCGAGCGGAAAGGCCCUUCGGGGUACUCGAGCGGCGAACGGGUGAGUAACACGUGAGUAAUCUGCCCUUCACUCUGGGAUAGCCCUCCGAAAGGGGGAUUAAUACCGGAUACGACGCGCCUCUGCAUGGGGGUGUGUGGAAACUUUUUUGGGGUGGGGGAUGUGCUCGCGGCCUAU